GACCUGGUGGUGAAUGGUUCACACCCACCCUUCUUAAAUAGGCGGCAAUAUUGUACGGUGGGAGUACUCGGUUCGAUUCCGGGUUGGGUCA